GACUAUGCAUGCAGGUUCCAGGAGCCUCCGCCAUGCUCCUGGCCGCUCAUGGCCGCGGGAUUCGGGGCGCACAGGCGCUGAAAAUUUUACAAUGCGGGCAACCGUGAUAAGGGGACACCGAGUGCCAGCAACUAUUUGUUGGCAUGUCCACUAUGCUGUAAAAUGCUAUGUGAUUAGCAAGGGCCUGGGGCAAGACCUGGUGCCUGGCCUGCCUGCUGGUAACUACCGGGCGGGCCCGGAGUGGUGAAUCGAAUAUUAUUGGGAUCUAAAGGGUCCGUAGCCGGUUUAGUCAGUCCUCCGGGAAAUUUGUCAGCAUCAACAUGAUAGGCAUGCGGGGGAUCUGCUAGACUUGGAACCGGGAGAGGUAAGAGGUCUCAGGGGUAGGAGUAAAUCUUGUAUCCUGUGGGACCACCUGUGGCGAAGGCGUCUUCCAGAACGGGUCUACGGUAGGGACGAAAGCUGGGGGCACGAACCGGAUUGAUCCCGGGUAGUCCCAGCCGUAACGAUCUCGCUAGGUGUCAUGCAUGGUGCGACCGUGUAUGGUGCCGUAGGGAAGCCGUGAAGCGAGCCACCUGGGAAGUCGGCCGCAAGGCUGAAACUUAAAGGAAUUGGCGGGGGAGCCCAACAACGGGUGGAGCUGCGGUUAAUUGGACUUCAACGCCGGAAAACUCACCGGGGGCGACAGCAAUAUGUGGGCCAAGCUAAAGACUUUC
rnacentral:rRNA from 1 species